rnacentral:rRNA from 1 species
UGGGGAAUAUUGGACAAUGGGCGAAAGCCUGAUCCAGCAAUACCGCGUGUGUGAAGAAGGCCUGAGGGUUGUAAAGCACUUUCAAUAGGAAGGAAUACCAAUUGGCUAAUACCCGAUUGACUGACAUUACCUAUAGAAGAAGCACCGGCUAACUCCGUGCCAGCAGCCGCGGUAAUACGGAGGGUGCGAGCGUUAAUCGGAAUUACUGGGCGUAAAGCGUGCGUAGGCGGUUGCUUAAGUCAGAUGUGAAAUCCCCGGGCUUAACCUGGGAACUGCAUUUGAUACUGGGCGACUAGAGUUGAGAAGAGGAGAGUGGAAUUUCAGGUGUAGCGGUGAAAUGCGUAGAGAUCUGAAGGAACACCAGUGGCGAAGGCGGCUCUCUGGGCUCAAACUGACGCUGAGGUACGAAAGCGUGGGUAGCAAACAGG